AUUGAACGCUAGCGGGAUGCUUUACACAUGCAAGUCGAACGGCAGCACGAAAAGAGCUUGCUCUUUUUGGUGGCGAGUGGCGAACGGGUGAGUAAUGUAUCGGAACGUACCCAGUAGCGGGGGAUAACUACGCGAAAGCGUGGCUAAUACCGCAUACGCCCUACGGGGGAAAGGGGGGGAUCGCAAGACCUCUCACUAUUGGAGCGGCCGAUAUCGGAUUAGCUAGUUGGUGGGGUAAAGGCUCACCAAGGCAACGAUCCGUAGCUGGUUUGAGAGGACGACCAGCCACACUGGGACGGAGACACGGCCCAGACUCCUACGGGAGGCAGCAGUGGGGAAUUUUGGACAAUGGGGGAAACCCUGAUCCAGCCAUCCCGCGUGUGCGAUGAAGGCCUUCGGGUUGUAAAGCACUUUUGGCAGGGAAGAAACGGCGCUGACUAAUACUUGGCGCAACUGACGGUACCUGAAGAAUAAGCACCGGCUAACUACGUG
rnacentral:rRNA from 1 species